CGCAAGGCGCAAGAAGCGGCCGGCGAUCGGGGAACGUUGGGAUCCGGGGGAAAGGAGCGGCGGCUUGCAGGCUUUUGCUGCCGCUGCAGGGCUGGAACCGGCAGAGUUGGCGCCCAGCCUGCCGGGACGAUGUGCCCGGCCUCGGGGCCAAAAGGCGCCCGGCGGCGGCGGUUGCUGCUCCUGCUGUUGCUGCUGCUGGCGGCGGCUCUGGAAGCGGCGUGCGCUUUCGGCGACGAAGAGGAACGCCGCUGCGAUGCCAUCCGCAUCUCCAUGUGCCAGAACUUGGGCUACAACGUCACCAAGAUGCCCAACCUGGUGGGCAGCCAGUUCCAAACCGACGCCGAGCUCCAGCUCACCACUUUCACCCCGCUCAUCCAGUACGGCUGCUCCAGCCAGCUGCAGUUCUUCCUGUGCUCCGUCUACGUCCCCAUGUGCACCGAGCAAAUCAACAUCCCAAUCGGCCCUUGUAGCGGUAUGUGCCUCUCCGUCAAAAGGCGAUGCGAGCCGGUCCUGAAAGAAUUUGGGUUCUCCUGGCCAGAAAACCUGAAUUGCAGCAAGUUCCCCCCACAUAACGACCACAAUCACAUGUGCAUGGAGGGGCCAGGAGACGAAGACGUCCCACUCCACAGCAAGGCCCCCUUGCACCCUGGAGAGGAAUGCCAGAGCGUUGGAUCGAAUGCAGAUCAAUACAUCUGGGUCCGGAGAAGCUUGACCUGUGUCCUCAAAUGCGGCUACGACGCUGGCCUCUACAGCCGGUCCGCCAAGGCGUUCACUGACAUCUGGAUGGCCGUGUGGGCGAGCCUGUGUUUCAUUUCCACCGCCUUCACGGUCUUGACCUUUCUGAUUGAUUCCACUCGGUUUUCCUAUCCGGAGCGGCCCAUCAUAUUCCUGAGCAUGUGCUACAAUAUUUAUAGCAUCGCUUAUAUUGUCCGGCUGACCGUAGGCCGAGAAAGGAUUUCCUGUGACUUCGACGAGGCCAUAGAACCUGUUCUCAUCCAGGAGGGCUUGAAGAACACCGGAUGUGCCAUCAUUUUUUUGCUGAUGUACUUUUUCGGCAUGGCGAGCUCCAUCUGGUGGGUGAUUCUCACCCUGACGUGGUUCCUGGCCGCCGGGCUCAAGUGGGGCCACGAGGCCAUCGAGAUGCACAGCUCGUAUUUCCACAUUGCUGCCUGGGCUAUCCCUGCGGUGAAGACCAUCGUCAUCCUGAUCAUGAGGUUGGUCGACGCCGACGAGCUGACGGGGCUGUGCUAUGUGGGCAACCAGAACCUUGAUGCCUUGACGGGAUUUGUGGUGGCUCCCCUGUUCACUUACUUGGUCAUCGGCACCCUCUUCAUUGCGGCUGGGUUGGUGGCUUUGUUUAAGAUCAGGUCCAACCUCCAGAAGGACGGGACCAAAACGGACAAGCUGGAGAGGUUGAUGGUGAAGAUUGGGGUUUUUUCCGUGCUUUACACGGUGCCGGCGACUUGCGUCAUCGCCUGUUAUUUCUACGAGAUCUCCAACUGGGGGAUCUUUCGCUACUCCGCUGAUGCCUCCAACAUGGCCGUGGAGAUGCUCAAGAUUUUCAUGUCCCUCCUGGUGGGCAUCACAUCCGGCAUGUGGAUUUGGUCAGCCAAGACGCUGCACACUUGGCAAAAGUGCUCCAAUAGACUGGUGAAUUCGGGGAGGGUAAAACGGGGAGCGAAGAGGGCGGACGGGUGGAUGAAACCCGGGAAAGGAAACGAGACAGUGGUAUAAAGAAAGGACAGGGACCAGCACAUUCUCUUACCUUCGAGAGCAGCAUCUGGGAGAAGGAAAUGAAUCCUUUUAUUGAGAAAUAUUUGAGUUUUUGCAGAAUUUUGAAGGAGAGGAGAGGAAAGCAGCAAAGGGAGCUGGACCAGGCUGGGGAAGAGGGGAAAAAAAGCACAGUUUUUUUACAGUGGCUUCACAAAGUUGUGAAGAGUAGAACCUCUUGGAUGUCUAUCAACAAGCGGCCAUUUUAGGAUUCAUGGGCUUUUGUGCCUCCUGAAAAACGCACCACGUGCCUUCUCUCACUCCCUUUCUUCUUCCCCUUAUCCCGUCCUGAUUCACAUUUAUCACUGUCUUGUAUAAAGUAGUACAAGAGAACAAAAUGGAGAGAGGAAGGAAUUCCUUGCAAGGUUUGAGGAGAAUUGCUGGUGUCCGGGAAUCCUGAAUCCAAGAAUCUCUCAACUUGUGUAUAAGUGAUGUCCAGAGCAGAGGUCUUCAAACUUGGCAGCUUUAAGACUUGUGGACUUCAACUCCCAGAAUUCUCCAGCCAGCAUGAGUUGAAGUCCACAAGUCUUAAAGCUGCCAAGUUUGAAGACUUCUGGUCCAGAGCUUGGAGAGCUGCAGAAAGUUGCAGUUUAGGAUGCAAACUUUGAAAUUCUGCAGAAUUCCUUCAAACACAGACCCAGAGAAAGGUCCAAGAUUCAAGCGAAGAAGUCAAAUUUGCCUUUAGCGUCAUCAACUAAAAAAAAAAAACGGUUAAUGUUUCAGGCUGUGUUUGGGGUGAGGAAACAAACAUGGAAUGGAAACAGGAUGUGUUUCUAAUCAGGAUGACCCCCAAAUGACAUCAAGAUGUCGCAAUGCAAGAGAUAAGGUCAUCAAAUCCACGGAAACCCUUGCCUUGAUAGAUUUAUUUCGGUGGGGGGGAAAAAAACCCCCAAGAACCUUUAAAAACACAAUAGUUCCAAAGAAACUUUUAAGCACAAUAGCUGCAGGAUUCUUUUCGGAUUCAGUAGCAGCAGUUACUAAAACAAGAUUAACCUUCAAACAUCACAAGAGGAUAGCAGUGAUAUCACGAGCCUCUGCAGGGACAACAGCUGGUUUCAAGUUCUUGCGGAAAUUUUGAGAGGAACACAAGCGACACGGACAAAACUGAUGAAGAGAAGUGACUCGGGACGAGAAAAAGAACAGUUCUUAUUGAUCAGUAGAAGAUAAAAGGAGGGCAAUGCUCUUCAUCACUUGGUUUAUAUUCCCACAACAAA